rnacentral:tRNA from 1 species
GACUUAAAAUCCGUUGGCUUUUUAGACCGUGAGGGUUCAAGUCCCUCUACCCCCAUAAACCCCC